UAAUAAUCCAUCUUUUCCACAGGCAGGUUCAGAACUGACGUCUCCACCUCUUCAAAUGGAACAAAUGCGAAAGGUGCAAGUCCUCUCUUGUGUGAUGUGCGAGAAAUCUCAUCCUCUUGCAAGUCCUCAACCACUCCAAUGAUGUCCUCCUCAGGCCCACUGACCCCAUUGCUAUCCACUUUACUAGUAACGAGUGAGAGUAUAUCCAUCCGAUUGUUAGCACCUGCGGUUGUUCCUCUUAACCUUAAACAGACUUUCCACAUUGUUGGACCCAGUCCAGGGUACAGGAAAGCAGCUUCACCCUUGUCGUCAGUCAAUGAGUAGCGGCCACUAAAAACAUCAUCAACUUUAGAUGCACGGAGAUUCAUGCAUUUCACAACCUCCUUCACUGUAUGAGAAGAAGUUUUAUAAAGAAACCUGCCAGAAGGUAAGAAUCUUAUGUAACGAUAGUAGCAAACCAAAUGAACUGGAUUGGUGACAUUCCACUCUCUCACACCAGCACGGAUAUAGGUGUUCCUACUCACAUAGAGACCAUCAGUACGGACUCUUGGUCUUAAAAGCCACAUUUUCCUCCAUGAGCUCUCAUAUUUUGAUUGCAAAAUCUUAUAGUUUUCCACCACUCCAGAUAGCUGCCAUGCCUUUAAGCAAGCACUACGCCAGAAUACAGGAUUACGAAGAGUAUAUCUCCAUUUUCGGCACACACAAGCAGCCCUUCCCAAAUCAUAUGGAUUCAUUCGGAAAAAAACCUCCAAGAGCAGCUCAUCUGGCAAGGAACGAUGUAUCAAUGCAGGAUCAUUAUUUUGUCUUCUAAUCGCACUCCCAUAUGGUGCAACAGGUCGGACAUUAACUCCAUAAAGAUCAAGCCAUGGUCUUUGUGUAACUAAGUAUUGGACAGUCUUCAAUUGCAAAGCUGUCUCGAGCUCGGCUGGAACUUGAAAAGCAAUAUCUGAAUUCAUGUGGAUGAUGGAUAGGGCUGGCUGUUUCACAAAUAAAAGCUUCAAUAUUUCCUUUCGAUUUUCCCAGGAAAAUUGGAGAGGACAAAAGAGAAAAAUGAGGAAGGACCGAGAAAAAU
rnacentral:misc_RNA from 1 species